GGAAUGCUGGCACAGGUUGCCCAGAGGCUGUAAGAUCUCCUUGGAGACUUUCAAAAGCUGCCUGGACAUGGCUCUGGGCACCCUGCUCUGAGCAUCCCCUGCUCGGGUUGAAUAAACCAGAUGGACCAGAGGUUGCUGCCAACCUCAGCCAUUCCAUGCUCUGUUCCCCAGCAAAACCAGGCACAAAGCUCUCGAGAAACAAGUUGGCUGCAACCUGUUUGCAAGAAAAGAGGACAUCUGAAAGCAAAGCACGGAGAUUGUUUUGUCUACAUAUCACGUUUCAAAACUGCUUUCGAGCAUCUUCAGAGCCUUCCAAGUCUCCACAGCACAGCAGAGCUAACACUGUGCUGAAGGCUUCUUUCAUUCAUCCUCCUUUUUUAUUCCUGCUAGAUUCAAGUUCAGGUUACUCUGUAGUCCCAGAACAGGUUUAUUUUUCUGCUACAAAUAACAGACUCCCUAAAGCAUUCUAACAGCCCACAUUUAGGUGUAACACAAGCCCAGUGCACUGAGAUACAGACCCACAACCCACCUGGAGUGCUUGGUGGGUGCAUGGUUUUCUGAACCACCCAAUGCAUGCACCAGAGCAGGUAAGGUAGCCAUGUGCCUGCAAACAAGCCCUGCUCUCCUGACUACUUAGGGCUGGGGGUUCACCCUAGAAAGACCACUUUGUAAACUGGAGCAUCUCAUGCAGAUUGCAAGGCACACUGCUCUAAAGAUAAGGUAGAAUUGCCGUGCUAUAGUGACAUGUUAGAUCAGAUCUAAUGGAGAAAACUAGCUAGACAUGGAUAGAGAAGAGUUCAGUUUAACUAAGAAGCAGUGUCACCUUCACACAGCUCAGCUCCCAUCCCAAUCUUUGACAUCCCAUUUAACCCAUUUUCACCUGAACUUCAACUGAACAGUUAUUGAGAGAUAGGUUGAAGCUGGCAAAAAUGUCAAUUUUCUAACUACUGUGUGGGCAUUUUAUAGCUAAAAUCCACUGAUACACAUAAAAAUUCUCUUAACUUUACCAUUACAGAAUGGAAAUAAGGAAAAGUUGAUACAGAACUAUCCAAAGCAUGCACAGCUUUCACUUUGCAAGAUACGGAAAGACUUUAAGUGUCUGAGGGAAGUCAGCAGUGGGGUAGAUAACUAAUUACCAGGCAGCUUAAUCCUACUUAUAUAUUUAUAUGUACAUAUAUAUUUAUACAUACAUACACACACAUAUGCUACAUAAAAACCCAGGGAUGCUCCUAACCUCCCAAGAAACACUACAUGCAGCCUUAAAUGAGAAGCACAGAAGGUCUGCAUGUGCCUGCAGUAUGUGCAGUGACUGCUUGCUACGAGCUCCCAGAGCAAUACCAGAUCCAGGAGCAGCUUGAGGGUGAAUGUGUGAAUGCUGAGGACCAGCAGCAAUAAAAAAAAUGGUUCUAUCA
rnacentral:lncRNA from 1 species